GCUGGGCGUGGUGGCACAUGCCUGUAAUCCCAGCUACUCAGGAGGCUGAGGCAGGAGUAUUGCUUGAACCCAGGAGGUGGAGGUUGCAGUGAGUCGAGAUCGCACCACUGCAUUCCCGCCUGGGUGACAGAGAAAGUCUCUGUCUCUA
rnacentral:SRP_RNA from 1 species